rnacentral:rRNA from 1 species
GAUGAACGCUAGCUACAGGCUUAACACAUGCAAGUCGAGGGGAAACGACAUCGAAAGCUUGCUUUUGAUGGGCGUCGACCGGCGCACGGGUGAGUAACGCGUAUCCAACCUGCCCACCACUUGGGGAUAACCUUGCGAAAGUAAGACUAAUACCCAAUGACGUCUCUAGAAGACAUCUGAAAGAGAUUAAAGAUUUAUCGGUGAUGGAUGGGGAUGCGUCUGAUUAGCUUGUUGGCGGGGUAACGGCCCACCAAGGCGACGAUCAGUAGGGGUUCUGAGAGGAAGGUCCCCCCACAUUGGAACUGAGACACGGUCCAAACUCCUACGGGAGGCAGCAGUGAGGAAUAUUGGUCAAUGGGGCGAGAGCCUGAACCAGCCAAGUAGCGUGCAGGAUGACGGCCCUAUGGGUUGUAAACUGCUUUUAUAAGGGAAUAAAGUGGGUCACGUGUGACUUUUUGCAUGUACCUUAUGAAUAAGGACCGGCUAAUUCCGUGCCAGCAGCCGC